AACGCGAAGAACCUUACCAAGUCUUGAGAUCCUGAUGAAUAACUGGUAAUGCAGUUAGCCCUUCCGGGCAUCAGAGACAGGUGGUGCAUGGUUGUCGUCAGCUCGUGUCGUGAGAUGUUGGGUUAAGUCCCGCAACGAGCGCAACCCCUAUUUUCAGUAGCCAGCAUUUCGGAUGGGCACUCUGAAGAGACUGCCGGGGUCAACCCGGAGGAAGGUGGGGAUGACGUCAAAUCAUCAUGCCCCUUAUGACUUGGGCCACACACGUGCUACAAUGGCGUAAAGGAAGGGAAGCGAGAGCGUGAGUUUUAGCAAAUCCCAAAAAUAACGUCUCACUUCCGACUGCAGUCUGCUACUCGACUGCACCAAGCUGGAAUCGAUAGCAAUCGCAAAUCAACAUGCUGCAUUGAAUACGUUGCCGGGUCUUGUACACACGG
rnacentral:rRNA from 1 species